rnacentral:rRNA from 1 species
UCNUCUGGCUCAGCUGGGGGCGUGCGGUGGGUACGGGCUGGCUUGAGUGCGGUAGGGGAGGCUGGAACUCCUGGUGUAGCGGUGGAAUGCGCAGAUAUCAGGAGGAACACCGGUGGCGAAGGCGGGUCUCUGGGCCGUUACUGACGCUGAGGAGCGAAAGCGUGGGGAGCGAACAGGAUUAGAUACCCUGGUAGUCCACGCUGUAAACGUUGGGCACUAGGUGUGGGGGGUCUUUCCGGGUCCUCCGCGCCGUAGCUAACGCAUUAAGUGCCCCGCCUGGGGAGUACGGCCGCAAGGCUAAAACUCAAAGGAAUUGACGGGGGCCCGCACGAGCGGCGGAGCAUGCGGAUUAAUUCGAUGCAACGCGAAGAACCUUACCAAGGCUUGACAUGUGCCGGUUGUCCUUCGGAGACGGGGGGUCCUCCCUAUUUGUGGGGGUCGGUUCACAGGUGGUGCAUGGUUAUCGUCAGCUCGUGUCGUGAGAUGUUGGGUUAAGUCCCGCAACGAGCGCAACCCUUGUCCCGUGUUGCCAGCACGUCGUGGUGGGGACUCGCGGGAGACUGCCGGGGUUAACUCGGAGGAGGGUGGGGAUGACGUCAAAUCAUCAUGCCCCUUAUGUCUUGGGCUUCACGCAUGCUACAAUGGCCGGUACAGUGGGUUGCGAUGUCGUGAGGCGGAGCGAAUCCCUUAAAGCCGGUCUCAGUUCGGAUCGGUGUCUGCAACUCGACACCGUGAAGCUGGAGUCGCUAGUAAUCGCAGAUCAGCAGCGCUGCGGUGAAUACGUUCUCGGGCCUUGUACACACCGCCCGUCACGUCAUGAAAGCUGGCAACACCCGAAGCCCGUGGCCCUAUGGGGAGCGG